rnacentral:rRNA from 1 species
AUGAACUCUUUGAUGAUCCUUGAUAUUUCAACUAACGACCUACAUGGGGAUGUCAACUUCUUACCCGUUUUCUCUAAUCUUCCAAAUCUCCAAUACCUUAGCAUCAAGUCAAAUAGUUUCACGGGUAGUCUCCCUAACAAUGUAGGGAAUAUAUCAAGCGAGCUGCAAGUUUUUUUAGCACGUGAAAACAGGUUGGUUGGAGGAAUUCCAACCACAAUUUCAAAUUUAACUGGCCUAUUUGUGCUAGAUCUUUCAGAAAACCAACUUCAUAGUGCAAUUCUAGAGUCCAUCAUGAUGAUGACAAAUCUAGAAUGGCUUGACCUCGAGAAAAAUAAUUUGUUUGGCUCCAUCCCAUCUCAGAUUGCCAUGCUCAAGAAUCUAGACCAUAUUUUUCUCAACGACAAUUGUUUCUCUGGUUCCAUACCAGAAAACAUCGGUAACCUCACUAAGUUAGAAUUUCUCAGCUUAUCAAGAAACCAAUUAACAUCAACUCUGCCACCAAGUUUGUUUCAUACGGAUAGCUUAGUAGAUCUAGAUUUGUCUCAAAACUCUUUGAAUGGUGCACUACCAUUGGAUAUGGGCUAUUCUAAACAAAUUAUUAGCAUGGAUCUCUCAACCAAUCACUUUGUUGGUAGGAUCCCAGAUUCGGUUGGACAACUUCAAACGUUAACCAACUUGAACCUAUCACAAAAUUCCUUCUCCGGUUCAAUUCCGAACUCUUUCAACAAGCUAACCAGCUUGAAAUCCUUGGACCUAUCACAUAAUGAUUUCUUCGGUACCAUCCCAAAUUACCUGGCCAAUUUUACCCUGCUCAAUAGUUUGGACCUAUCUUUCAAUAAUCUAAAAGGUCAGAUACCCAAUGGAGGGAUCUUCUCAAAUAUUAGCAUACAAUCCUUGAUGGGGAACUCAUGUCUUUGUGGUGCUUCACGAUUAGGGUUUUCAACAUGUCCAAGUAACCCACAAAAAACUGAAGGUGGAAUUUUGAAAUUUGUAGUCCCUGCCAUCAUUAUAGUGAUUGGUGUUUUAGCUUCAUAUUCAUAUGCAAUGAUAAGAAGGAAAACUAGCAAUCAGCAAGGGAUGCCAGUUUCUAUUGAUAUAGUUGACGUGACAAGUCAUCCUCUGGUCCCUUACCAUGAGCUCGCUCGCGCUACAAAUAACUUCAGCGGGAGCAACCUUUUGGGGUAUGGAAGCUUUGGAAAAGUUUUCAAGGGUCAACUAAACAGUGGUUUGGUGGUUGCAAUAAAAGUCAUAAACAUGCAGCUUUUGCAGGGCAUCAGAAACUUUGAUGCCGAGUGUCAGGUUCUCCGUAUGGCACGGCAUCGCAACCUUAUAAGGAUACUAAAUACAUGUUCCAAUCUGAAUUUCAGAGCAUUAAUGCUUCAGUACAUGCCCAAUGGCACUUUAGAUGCGCUCUUGCACUACUCUCAAAGCACAAGGCACUUGGGGUUAUUGGAUAGGAUAGGCAUAAUGCUUGACGUGGCUAUGGCAAUGGAGUAUCUGCACCAUGAGCACCACGAGGUGGUCUUGCACUGUGACUUGAAGCCAAGCAAUGUGUUGUUUGAUGAGGACAUGACCGCGCAUGUAGCAGACUUCGGCAUUGCAAGGUUGCUACUAGGUGAUGAAACCUCUGUGAUCUCUGCGACCAUGAAUGGGACAGUUGGGUACAUGGCACCAGAAUAUGGAUCGCUUGGAAAAGCAUCACGAAAGAGUGAUGUGUUCAGCUACGGCAUCAUACUCCUUGAAGUCUUCACUAGAAGGAGACCCACAGAUGCAAUUUUUGUUGGGAAUCUAACAUUGAGACAAUGGGUUUUUGAGACAUUCCCCGCUGACCUUGUUCAUGCUGUGGAUGGCGAUCUACUGCGAGGACCUUCUUCUAGCCGCCAUUUGGAAGUCUUUCUGGUGCCAAUAUUCGAGUUGGGUUUGCUCUGCUCCUGUGACUCUCCAGACCAAAGGAUAACGAUGACGGAUGUGGUCGUGAAGCUGAAGAAGAUCAAAGUGGAGUAUACCAAAUGGAGUGCAACCCAAUGA